AAUAAGUGCAACCAUGAGUUUCCGCGUCCAACUUUGAUCGUUCGUUUUAUUUGAAAUUUUUUUAUAAUUAGCAGUUUUGUUGUUAUAAGAUGAUAAAACAUGAAUGAUACUUUACUCGUGACUUAUGUUUUUUUUUUCAAAAUUUUUUUAAAUAUGACGAAUGGUUAAAGUUGGGCGCAAAAAAACCAUGGUUGUACUUAUU
rfam:Oryza rufipogon genomic scaffold, chr07